rnacentral:lncRNA from 1 species
GAUGGGCCCAGCCUCUCAGCCUACAUCUUUCUCCUAUGCUGAAUGCUUCCUUCCCUCGAACAUCAGACUCUGGGUUCUUCAGUUUUGGGACUCAGACUGGCUUUCAGCUUGCAGACAGCCUACUGUGGAACCUUGUGAUCGGGAAAGUGUGGUUAGAAAACUCAGAAAGAUGACAGAAAAAUCAAGAAGCAGACUGAGAAGACUUGGGGUCUUAGAGGCUGAAGAAACUCAGAAGGCCCAAAAUGAAGUUGAACUUAGUUGUUAUGGCCCAAGAACUGACUCUGGGUGGACAGAGGGGUCUCUACAGCCUUGAAAUGUCAUAGUCAUUUACUCCUCCCCAGUUCCCACCCUCCAAAGAGUUCAGAGCUCUGUAAAGAGGGUAGAGGUUCAUCUUGAUUAGUCUCUGAUUUUUAGAGAAAAUAAUCAUUAUCAUGCCAUGUUCUCUGUGAUGGCCACCUCAGAUGGGAUGCAGGUGGUGGAGUAGAGACAGGCUGGUGUACAGGAGAAGUGGAAGAUGGAGUGAUGGAUAAUAGGUGGUUCUAAAGGAUGGAUCCAAGACUAGCUUAGGAUGCAACCACCAUACAAUACUGUUCUCCAUCCAGAAACCUACCAGGGCCAUCAAGCAAAACCUUUGGAAAAGAGAAGGCACAGACAGAACAGUAAAUUAUAAAGAAGCUUGUUUUCUUGCAGUCAGGCUGGGACAAACUUCAGCAAGAAGAAUAGUGAAAUUCAACAAAGACAGAUUUUCCCCACCCACUUCAUGCCAAAGAAGGACAAUCACAUGCCUACCUCUCAGAAACUUUCUCUAGAAGGGGAGAAAAGAAGGGGAAAAGAGAUCCCAAAAUGGAAAACCAUUUCAGCCUGUUCUUUUUUAAAAGCUUUAUUGAAGUAUAAUACGGUGUACCUUUUUUUAAUUUCUUUUUUUUUUUCCGUUGAGACAGAGUCUGACUCUGAUGCUCAGGCUGGAGCAUAGUGGCACGAUCUCAGCUCACUGCAAUCUCCGCCUCCCGGGUUCAAGUGAUCCUCUCACCUCAGCCCCCCAAGUAGCUAGGACUACAAGCGCAUGCCACCACGCCAAGCUAAUUUUUGUAGUAUUAGUAAAGUCGGGGUUUCACCAUGUUGGCCAGGCUGGCCUCGAACUCCUGACCUCAAGUGAUCCACCCACCUCAGCCUCUCAAAGUGUUGGGAUUACAGGUGUGAGCCACCACACCCAGCCUCAGUGUAGCUAAAGUGUAAAAUGUGAUGAGUUUCAACAUAUGUGUGUACCAGUAAAGCCAUCACCACAAUCAAGAUAACAAACAUCCUCAUCAUACGUAAAAUAUCCUGUGCCCCUUUGUAAUCCAUCCCUGCCUCCACUCCCAUCCUCAAAACACCACUGAUGUGCUUUCUGUCACUAUAGAUUAAUUUGUAUUUUGUACAAUUCUUUAUGAAUGGAAUUAUACAGCACCUACUCUGCAUCAAUA